rnacentral:piRNA from 1 species
UCAACACCGAUUUAAAAAUCU